ACAUCGCUGGAAGUGAAAUGAACGACGUUCGACAAUUAAUGUUAUAUUAUGAACAAAGGUGCAUUCGGGGCGAUCAUGUAAAUCGACGUCAGAAAUGAAUUUGUUUUGAAAUCGUGAGAAAGCAGCCACGCAUCACCACUCUAUUCUGCACUGCUGUAUUCACCGUAAGGUUUUAAUUAAACGCAUGUCGCACAUAACACACUGGCUGUUUAUCGCACUGGGUCAUGGCGCAGACAAACAAUUAUGGGCAAAGCAGCAACGGGGUGGCGGACGAAUCCCCCAACAUGCUGGUUUACAGAAAGAUGGAAGAUAUCAUAGCCCGUAUGCAAGAUGAAAAGAAUGGAAUCCCUAUUCGCACAGUGAAAAGUUUUUUAUCCAAGAUUCCAAGUGUUUUUUCAGGUUCUGAUAUUGUGCAGUGGAUGAUCAAAAACCUAGACAUCGAAGAUCAAGUUGAGGCCCUUCAUCUCGGCACCCUGAUGGCAGCUCACGGCUACUUCUUUCCUAUCUCAGACCACGUGCUGACGCUGAAGGAUGACGGCACCUUCUACAGGUUUCAGACUCCAUAUUUCUGGCCUUCAAACUGUUGGGAACCAGAAAAUACUGACUAUGCGGUUUACCUCUGCAAAAGAACAAUGCAAAACAAAGCCCGGCUGGAGCUCGCCGACUACGAGGCUGAGAGCCUAGCAAGGCUACAGAGAGCAUUCGCUCGGAAAUGGGAGUUUAUAUUUAUGCAAGCGGAAGCACAGGCAAAAGUUGACAAGAAAAGAGACAAAAUCGAAAGAAAAAUACUUGACAGUCAAGAAAGAGCCUUUUGGGACGUACACAGACCAGUGCCCGGCUGCGUGAACACAACGGAAGCCGAUAUCAAAAAAUCCUCCAGAAUGAAGCAGCCCCACAAAACAAGAAAGUCUGUCUACGGGCUUCAGAACGACAUCAGGAGUCACAGCCCCACUCACACCCCUGCCCCCGAGGCCCGGCAGCCCACGGAGGAGGAGCUACACGACAAGAUACAGUUUUGGCAGGUGCAGUUGGAUAGGCAUCGAUUGAAAAUGUCAAAGGUUGCGGAGAGUUUGUUAAGCUACACUGAGCAGUACAUCGAAUACGACCCCUUUCUCACGUCACCCGAUCCCUCAAACCCCUGGAUCUCAGAUGACACGACGGUGUGGGAGAUGGAGGCCAGCAAGGAGCCGGGGCAGCAGAGAGUGAAGAGAUGGGCCUUCGGCAUCAACGAGGUGUUGAAAGACCAGGUGGGCAGGGAGCAGUUCCUCAAGUUCCUGGAGUCGGAGUUCAGCUCAGAAAACCUGAGGUUCUGGCUGGCUGUUCAGGAGCUGAAGAAGAGGCCCAUUCGUGAGGUGCCAACCCGGGUUCAGGAGAUCUGGCUGGAGUUCCUGGCCCCUGGGGCCCCCAGUGCCAUCAACGUCGACUCAAAAAGCUACGACAAAACCACACAGAACGUGAAGGACCCUGGACGCUACGCCUUUGAGGAUGCACAGGAGCACAUUUACAAGCUGAUGAAAAGCGAUUCCUACAGCCGUUUCAUCCGUUCCAGUGCCUACCAGGAGCUGCUACAGGCCAAGAAAAAGUUGGAAAACGCUCAAGAUUGCAGAACUUCAUUUGAGAAAUUCACUCAUAAUGUGGUAAGUGGGCGGGCCCUGUCUGGUCACGGUCCAGACCACAGCCUGUGCUGAUUAUGCACAUGUGGUCGGUGCAUUUUCCCUGCCCCUUAAUUUCACCCAAUCACAUUUCUCACAACCAACCAAUGAUCUUACAGGUUCUGGUGAGGACCCACCUCUACCACCCCACCUACAGUAUCUCCAUUCCAAUACUGUACAAGAUAUUGAUCAAGACGCUAUAGAUUUUCCUCCCUGAGUUUUGAAGUUAAUAAUUAAUACAGUACUCAGUCAUUCAAAGCUUCACUUUAGUUUUUUCGCUUUAUGUUUUCCAUUGAUUAAAGGGACAGUGCCGUCAGCGAAAUUUGACAUACUGCAAUGUAGCAACAUAUUUAAUUCAAAACAAAUAAUUUGUCAUUGAAUUAGGACUGUCGUAAAUUGAAUACCUGUUUAUGUAGCAUUGCAUUAUUUUACUUUUGCCUGGAACAGUAAAAGGGAAAAUGUCCCUCCCAGUCCUCAUGUCUGUCCUUUCUUCUCUUCUACAGAAAAGUAAGAACUUAUUUUGAAGGAUAUUGCUUCCAGGGGAAAUCACAUACUUUGAAGAGGCUAGCAAGUCUUGUGCAAUCAUGCUAAAAUGCAGUAACUUUUUAGCUUGGAAGAGGACCAUGUCAUUUCUACGAUAUUGUAGUCUACUGUUUGCCCAGAGGAACCACUUGACAGUAGACCAGAUGUUGCAUGUCCAAGAAACGGAGGUUUUUAUUUAUUUUUUUAUUUUUUAUUUUUUUUCCUCCUCAGUGUGAAAAGGCAUUUUGGACUUUUAAGAGACGUUAAACCCACAAAUAAAUGCCUUCAGAAAAGUAAUUUGUCCGGUCACUUCCUUAGUUACUUAUCAGUUGGAUCUAUACGUGUCCAUCGCAACGUAAGCUGAAGAAAAAACAAAAAACAAAAAAACAAAACAACAGAAAUGCUUCUGCAUAGGGAUGUUAUAUCACUGAUUUACCACAAUAACAGAAUACAGAGUAUGCAUUUGUUAUAAAGUUUAAUUUGCAUUUUUAUUGCACUACGAAAAUUAGCACAGUUUUCAUUGCUGUUGUAAAACCACAUUCUAAAACUGAAAAGCUGUGUGUUUGUCCGAUGUAGUCUGUAAUUCUUUGUUACUGUUCCCUGCAUUUAUUUUUAUACCAUAUUUAAAGACACAUUUUACUUAAAAUGUAUUCAAGUUGGCCCUUUAUCUGUUUAUAUGUGUUUUUUAUAUCUUUUUUUCUGAACAGUUCUUUGAAGCUCCAUAUUGUAUAUGUACUGCUCCUUUUUAUUCUCUUUCAAAGGGGAAGAUAAACCAGUUAAGGGGCUUUGCUACCAAAUUCACUAGUGGAGAAUUCAUUAAGCUAAUAAUUGACAAUUUUAUUAUUAUUAUUAUUAUUAUUAUUAUUAUUAUUACAGAGCCAAUAGGGAAAUUUGGGGGAUUCAGUUUGACUGGUUAGGGCAGGGUCUGAUAUGCAAAUUUGCCAUGCAGAUUUGGUUCAUAUUGAUCUCCCUUUGCAAACUGAUGUGAAUCAUAAAUCAAAUCAAAUGUUUCAGCCAAAUCAAAAAAGACUUAAUUCUGAAAAAACUUAUGUGCCAUUUGUCACUCCAUUAGCUGAAAGUUCACCAUUUCCUUUUAUACCAAGAAGGAAACUUCAUUUUCACUCAGUGUUCUCGUGAAUGAUGGAAGGGGUUUGAUUUUGGGUUUAAGAUUAUUUUGUCUUUUUGAAACAUAGCAAAGGCCCAAAGAAAGCUGUAUUGUCAAUUGUAUCGCCAUUACAUUGUUAUUCACCACUUGUUAAUCCGUUACGGUUGUUAUGGUUACCACAACUAUGUGAUUCUGUAAAUAUGUAUUCAAAAUAAUAAAAAAAAAACAUCCAGAAAUGGUAAUGCAAAUGUGA